AGAGUUUGAUCCUGGCUCAGGAUGAACGCUAGCGGCAGGCCUAACACAUGCAAGUCGAGGGGCAUCACGAGGUAGCAAUACUUUGGUGGCGACCGGCGCACGGGUGCGUAACGCGUAUGUAACCUACCUAUAACAGGGGCAUAACACUGAGAAAUUGGUACUAAUUCCCCAUAAUAUUCGGAGAGGCAUCUCUCCGGGUUGAAAACUCCGGUGGUUAUAGAUGGACAUGCGUUGUAUUAGCUAGUUGGUGAGGUAACGGCUCACCAAGGCAACGAUACAUAGGGGGACUGAGAGGUUAACCCCCCACACUGGUACUGAGACACGGACCAGACUCCUACGGGAGGCAGCAGUGAGGAAUAUUGGUCAAUGGACGCAAGUCUGAACCAGCCAUGCCGCGUGCAGGAAGACGGCUCUAUGAGUUGUAAACUGCUUUUGUACGAGAGUAAACGCUCUUACGUGUAAGAGCCUGAAAGUAUCGUACGAAUAAGGAUCGGCUAACUCCGUGCCAGCAGCCGCGGUAAUACGGAGGAUCCAAGCGUUAUCCGGAUUUAUUGGGUUUAAAGGGUGCGUAGGCGGUUUGAUAAGUUAGAGGUGAAAUCCCGGGGCUUAACUCCGGAACUGCCUCUAAUACUGUUAGACUAGAGAGUAGUUGCGGUAGGCGGAAUGUAUGGUGUAGCGGUGAAAUGCUUAGAGAUCAUACAGAACACCGAUUGCGAAGGCAGCUUACCAAACUAUAUCUGACGUUGAGGCACGAAAGCGUGGGGAGCAAACAGGAUUAGAUACCCUGGUAGUCCACGCAGUAAACGAUGAUAACUCGUUGUCGGCGAUACACAGUCGGUGACUAAGCGAAAGCGAUAAGUUAUCCACCUGGGGAGUACGUUCGCAAGAAUGAAACUCAAAGGAAUUGACGGGGGCCCGCACAAGCGGAGGAACAUGUG
rnacentral:rRNA from 1 species